rnacentral:rRNA from 1 species
GAUGAACGCUGGCGGCGUGCCUAAUACAUGCAAGUCGAGCGAACGGACGAGAAGCUUGCUUCUCUGAUGUUAGCGGCGGACGGGUGAGUAACACGUGGAUAACCUACCUAUAAGACUGGGAUAACUUCGGGAAACCGGAGCUAAUACCGGAUAAUAUUUUGAACCGCAUGGUUCAAAAGUGAAAGACGGUCUUGCUGUCACUUAUAGAUGGAUCCGCGUUGCAUUAGCUAGUUGGUAAGGUAACGGCUUACCAAGGCAACGAUGCGUAGCCGACCUGAGAGGAUGAUCAGCCACACUGGAACUGAGACACGGUCCAGACUCCUACGGGAGGCAGCAGUGGGGAAUCUUCCGCAAUGGGCGAAAGCCUGACGGAGCAACGCCGCGUGAGUGAUGAAGGUCUUCGGAUCGUAAAACUCUGUUAUUAGGGAAGAACAUAUGUGUAAGUAACUGUGCACGUCUUGACGGUACCUAAUCAGAAAGCCACGGCUAACUACGUG